UUUGAUCCUGGCUCAGAUUGAACGCUGGCGGCAUGCCUUACACAUGCAAGUCGAACGGCAGCACGGGAGCAAUCCUGGUGGCGAGUGGCGAACGGGUGAGUAAUACAUCGGAACGUGCCCAAUCGUGGGGGAUAACGCAGCGAAAGCUGUGCUAAUACCGCAUAAGAUCUACGGAUGAAAGCAGGGGAUCGCAAGACCUUGCGCGAAUGGAGCGGCCGAUGGCAGAUUAGGUAGUUGGUGAGGUAAAGGCUCACCAAGCCUUCGAUCUGUAGCUGGUCUGAGAGGACGACCAGCCACACUGGGACUGAGACACGGCCCAGACUCCUACGGGAGGCAGCAGUGGGGAAUUUUGGACAAUGGGCGCAAGCCUGAUCCAGCCAUGCCGCGUGCAGGAUGAAGGCCUUCGGGUUGUAAACUGCUUUUGUACGGAACGAAACGGCUCUUUCUAAUAAAGAGGGCUAAUGACGGUACCGUAAGAAUAAGCACCGGCUAACUACGUGCCAGCAGCCGCGGUAAUACGUAGGGUGCAAGCGUUAAUCGGAAUUACUGGGCGUAAAGCGUGCGCAGGCGGUUAUGUAAGACAGUUGUGAAAUCCCCGGGCUCAACCUGGGAACUGCAUCUGUGACUGCAUAGCUAGAGUACGGUAGAGGGGGAUGGAAUUCCGCGUUUAGCAGUGAAAUGCGUAGAUAUGCGGAGGAACACCGAUGGCGAAGGCAAUCCCCUGGACCUGUACUGACGCUCAUGCACGAAAGCGUGGGGAGCAAACAGGAUUAGAUACCCUGGUAGUCCACGCCCUAAACGACGUCAACUUGUUGGGUCUUCACUGACUCAGUAACGAAGCUAACGCGUGAAGUUGACCGCCUGGGGAGUACGGCCGCAAGGUUGAAACUCAAAGGAGUUGACGGGGACCCGCACAAGCGGUGGAUGAUGUGGUUUAAUUCGAUGCAACGCGAAAAACCUUACCCACCUUUGACAUGUACGGAAUUUGCCAGAGAUGGCUUAGUGCUCGAAAGAGAGCCGUAACACAGGUGCUGCAUGGCUGUCGUCAGCUCGUGUCGUGAGAUGUUGGGUUAAGUCCCGCAACGAGCGCAACCCUUGUCAUUAGUUGCUACAUUCAGUUGGGCACUCUAGUGAGACUGCCGGUGACAAACCGGAGGAAGGUGGGGAUGACGUCAAGUCCUCAUGGCCCUUAUAGGUGGGGCUACACACGUCAUACAAUGGCUGGUACAAAGGGUUGCCAACCCGCGAGGGGGAGCUAAUCCCAUAAAACCAGUCGUAGUCCGGAUCGCAGUCUGCAACUCACUGCGUGAAGUCGGAAUCGCUAGUAAUCGUGGAUCAGAAUGUCACGGUGAAUACGUUCCCGGGUCUUGUACACACCGCACGUCACACCAUGGGAGCGGGUUCUGCCAGAAGUAGUUAGCCUAACCGCAAGGAGGGCGAUUACCACGGCAGGGUUCGUGACUGGGGUGAAGUCGUAACAAGGUA
rnacentral:rRNA from 1 species